CCCUUAGAUGUCCUGGGCCGCACGCGUGCUACACUGACGCCUACAGCGAGUACUUCCCAGCCCCGAGAGGUGGCUGGUAAUCAGCAAUAGGCGUCGUGAUGGGGAUAGAUCUUUGGAAUUAUGGAUCUUGAACGAGGAAUGCCUAGUAAGCGCAGGUCAUUAGCCUGCGCUGAUUAAGUCCCUGCCCUUUGUACACACCGCCCGUCGCCCCUACCGAUUUCGAGUGGUCCGGUGAAUCUUUCGGACUGCGCGCGGCCUCGUGCCGUGUCGCGGAAAGUCAGGUAAACCUUAUCACUUAGAGGAAGGAGAAGUCGUAACA
rnacentral:rRNA from 1 species